AAGACUUUAAGUUAACCUAAACUAAUAAUCUUCAAAAUUAUUUAUAAAAAAAAUUUUUUUAAGUCUUA
rnacentral:tRNA from 1 species